rnacentral:rRNA from 1 species
AGUGAACGCUGGCGGUAGGCCUAACACAUGCAAGUCGAACGGCAGCACAGUAAGAGCUUGCUCUUACGGGUGGCGAGUGGCGGACGGGUGAGGAAUACAUCGGAAUCUACUUUUUCGUGGGGGAUAACGUAGGGAAACUUACGCUAAUACCGCAUACGACCUACGGGUGAAAGCAGGGGAUCUUCGGACCUUGCGCGAUUGAAUGAGCCGAUGUCGGAUUAGCUAGUUGGCGGGGUAAAGGCCCACCAAGGCGACGAUCCGUAGCUGGUCUGAGAGGAUGAUCAACCCCACUGGAACUGAGACACGGUCCAAACUCCCAAGGGAAGGAGGCGUGGGGAAUAUUUGACCAAGGGGGCAAACCCGCACCAGCCCUACCGGCUGGGUGAAGGAGGCCCUCCGGUUUUAAAGCCCUUUUGUUGGGAAAGAAAAGCAGCAGGUUAAUACCCCGCUGUUCUGACGGUACCCAAAGAAUAAGCACCGGCUAACUUCGUG